GUGUCAGGGAUUUAUGUUGAUCUGCUCAGAGGCUUACAUUCAGCCCUAAGUCAGCAACUGACAAAAUGAGCAGCAAUACCCUCAACAUCUGGAGACGCAGUCAAUGUAUCCAUCCUCGCAACAUGGACCUGAUCCACCGAGAGGAGGGGAAGAGAAGCAGCACGUCGCACAUGGGAGUUGAAAGUUGGAUUGUUCCUGUAGACGUUGACUAGGCCUUUCUCGGCAACUUGUCUCCAAACAGCUUGUGUAUAAUGGAAAAAACAUCCACGGAUAUCAGCACCUGGGAACACUGUCUCGAUGGCACCGAUGGCAGCAGCUUCGUAGUCUGUUUGCACUAUAGAAGGGGAGAGAUUGACAUCGACAGUUGUAAGCACAAUAUCCUUUAAGUGAGUAAACAGUCUGAUAUAUGUGUCACGGGAUUUGCUGGGAAGUAGGGAAAGGCAACUAGAUACAUCUGGUCCUGUACAAGGCAGUGCAAAACAUACACUUGGGUCCAAAGACUAGGGCACACACAACAUGUUCCAU